UACGUAGGGUGCAAGCGUUGUCCGGAAUUAUUGGGCGUAAAGAGCUCGUAGGCGGUCUGUCGCGUCGGCUGUGAAAACCCUGGGCUCAACCCCGGGCCUGCAGUCGAUACGGGCAGACUAGAGUGCGGUAGGGGAGACUGGAAUUCCUGGUGUAGCGGUGAAAUGCGCAGAUAUCAGGAGGAACACCGGUGGCGAAGGCGGGUCUCUGGGCCGUAACUGACGCUGAGGAGCGAAAGCGUGGGGAGCGAACAGG
rnacentral:rRNA from 1 species